GGGCCUGUAGCUCAGUUGGUAGAGCACCGCCUUGAUAAGGCGGGGGUCAUAGGUUCGAGUCCUAUCAGGCCCACCA
rnacentral:tRNA from 1 species